rnacentral:rRNA from 1 species
AUUGAACGCUGGCGGCAGGCCUAACACAUGCAAGUCGAACGAGUGGCGGACGGGUGAGUAAUGUCUGGGAAACUGCCCGAUGGAGGGGGAUAACUACUGGAAACGGUAGCUAAUACCGCAUACCAUCGGAUGUUCCCAGAUGGGAUUAGCUAGUGGGUGGGGUAACGGCUCACCUAGGCGACGAUCCCUCGCUGGUCUGAGAGGAUGACCAGCCACACUGGAACUGAGACACGGUCAAGACUCCUACGGGAGGCAGCAGUGGGGAAUAUUGCACAAUGGGCGAAAGCCUGAGGCAGCAAUGCCGCGUGUAUGAAGAAGGCCUUCGGGUUGUAAAGUACGUUCAGCGGGGAGGCGGUACCCGCAGAAGAAGCACCGGCUAACUCCGUGCCAGCAGCCGCGGUAAUAC